CCCUACCUUAAAAUAAAUUACACAUAUAACAUUAUAAUAAAAUUAUCAUUAACACCCUCUUAUUUCAUCACAACUCUUCACAUUCUCAUUACAUCUUUUCACAUUCAAAUAUCAAUCAAAUAUUCAAUCUUAUAUUAAUUCCCAAAUCCAUAUUACACAUUCCUAUAUAUAUUAAUUACCAUAAUUAAAUACACCCAACCAACAUAGCCGUUGGGUGUUCUUCUAUAUAAACAUACCUAAUCCUAGUUUAAGACAACACACGAUCACACACACACAUCCACACACUCUGUAUUACAAUUACAGACUUUGGGUUACUCUGUCUGAUCAAUUCUGCAACUGGAACUGCAAUACAUCAACUUGAAUCACAGAUUCAAGUUCAAUCACAUUCAACUCACUUCAACAAGCUGUGGAUCAUCGCUUCAUCAAUCGAUCAUCCUACAGUAUCAAUUUACAGUUCAUUAUCAUAUCAUCAUACAUAUAUCGAUAAUUCAAUUUCUAAACCAUAUUUCAUAUUUAUAUUUGCAUAUAUUUCAAAUAUAACUUCUAUCAUGGUAUCAGAGCAGGUUCAAUCCUGAUCAAAACAUUUUUUUCUCUAUUCUAAAAUCAUUUCUUUUCUUUUCUUUCUACUAUCAAUUCUUCCUACAAAAAAAGGGAAACAGCACUACAAACUGUUUCAAAAACACAAAACUCUAUUCUGUUCAAGCAGCAUUGUCAAUCAUCAAAAACAACCCUGUUUCUCCAGAUAUUGUCAAAGAAUUCUUGUGGAGGACGAGGAGGUAGUGGAAUCUCCACUGCCAGAACACCAUUUUCCUUCUCCCCCUCAGAAUUCAGGCCCACAUCUGGAUCACUCCAUAUCUCAUAGUCAGGCAUAGAAUCAUCACUAUCAUAAUCAUAGUAGAAUUCCUGAGACACCACACCAUCUUCACCAUCACUAUCUGAGGGAAAUUCAACAUUCCACACAGGAACAGGUCUCUCAUACUCAGAGUCAGAGGAAGAGUACACAUCUUCCACAUCACCAAAAUACUCCAAGGCCUCCACAUUCAUAUUCUGCCUUCUGAGCUCUCUCAUCCUCCUGAGAUUCCUGGUGUGCCUUCUCAUCAGCCUUCUUUCCCUCCUCUCAUUUUUAUCUGAAAAUGACAACAAAGAAUGAUGAGUUUAAAAUCAAAGAUGGAAAUCCAUACUAUAUUUCAGGGAGUGAUAAUUCCAACACAAGUCUGGUAGUAACUCCACUCAGUGGAUCAAACUAUCAAACAUGGGUGGUUGAAAUUCAAAGAUCUCUAUCCACCAAAAACAAACUGGGUUUCAUAAAUGGAACCAUUACAAAACCAGCAGAAAACACAGAUAACUACUUCAUGCCCUGGGUCAGAUGCAAUGAUCUAGUCACAGCAUGGAUACUAAACAGCUGCUCCAAGGAAAUCAAAAGCAGCACAAUCUUCAUAAAAGAUGCCAACAUCUUGUGGCAAAAUCUCAAACAGAAAUACAGCAGAGCAAACUCCCUGGUUAUUUCCCAACUUAAAAGACAGAUUGCACUAUGCACUCAAGGCAAUGAAUCUGUAAGCAAUUACUAUGCCAAACUACAGGGACUCUGGAAUGAACUAGACAACAACCAGAUCUUUGAAUGCUGUGGCAAUGCUAACUGCAUAGCAAAGGAAAAUCUGGAGAGGUUAAUCACCUUCACAACUGGUCUGAAUGACUCCUUCAUGACCAUCAGAGGACAGAUUCUGAAGAAGAAAACCCCACCUUCAGUAGAAGAUGCUUUUAGCAUGGUUCUACAAGAAGAAACUCAAAGGGAGUGUGUAUACCCUGAGGAAGGCAAUGCCAUGGUAGCACAAUCUAAAAAUCCUCAGGUAAAGACACACAUUCAGAGUGAAGACUCCAAACCCUACUGCACAAGAUGCAAGAAACACAACCACACUCUGGAAACAUGCUUCUAUGAGCAUGGAUUUCCAGCAGGACAUGGGCUCCAUGGGGUAGAUUUCAACAAAAAGAAGGACACAAAAUUUGUUGGAAAGAAAAACUACAAUGGCAGGCCCAACAAAGGACAGAAAAGCAAAUACCAAAGCAACAAUGCUAGCACACAACAAGAAGAAGAUGAACCAAAACCCAAUGAAGAUAAAACUGAAAACAAGUUCAUCACUAGAGAAGAGCUAAUAGACAUACUGGGAGGAUUCUCCAAAGGGAAACAGAGUCAGGCUCACAUGGCUUCUGGAAGCUCAUCUGGUAAGUCACUUUAUAAAAAUAAUACUUGUUUUCAUUACUCCUUAAACACACACACAAAACCACACACUGAAACAAAAAAUGAUCAAUGGAUCAUUGACACAGGGGCAACAGAUCAUAUGUGUUCCCCCAACACCAAACUACAGAACAUAAAAACACUCCUGUACCCAAUAAACAUACACCUUCCAAACUCACAAACCACAAAAGUAUCAUCAAGUGGCUCCAUAACCCUGUCAAAAGACAUUAUCUUACACAAUGUCCUUAAAAUACCAUCCUUCUCAGUAAACCUUCUAUCUGUAAGCAAAUUAACAAAAGAUAUAAAUUGCUUAUUCACCUUCCACCCUACUUUCUGUUCCAUACAGGACCAGCAGGGAAACCAGAUUGGUGGUGGUGAGAAGAAGGAUGGCCUAUACAUACUGAAGCUAGAAUCACCCCAGGCCAAUCAUAGCCAACAAAGGGAAUCCAAAGAUGAAGAAAUCUGGCACAGAAGGCUAGGGCACCCUGCACCUUCUAGAUUUUAUCACCUACAUUUAUUGAACAAUUGUAUUCCUAAAAUUUUUUCCAAAUUUUGUAAUACAUGCCCUUUGUCAAAACAAACAAGGCUAUCCUUUAAUUCUAGCACAAGUAAAACUACAAAAUGCUUUCAACUUAUUCAUCUAGNNNNNNNNNNNNNNNNNNNNNNNNNNNNNNNNNNNNNNNNNNNNNNNNNNNNNNNNNNNNNNNNNNNNNNNNNNNNNNNNNNNNNNNNNNNNNNNNNNNNAUCAAGGAAACAACUACUUUCUGACCAUCGUAGAUGACUAUUCAAGGGCUACCUGGGCCUUCCUGAUGACAAACAAAGCUGAGACAAUAGGAAAAUUCAAACAGUUCAUCUUGGAUGUUAAAAAUCAACAUCAAACAACGAUCCAAACCAUAAGAACAGACAAUGGAACAGAAUUCCUAUCUAAAGAAUUCCAAAAUACUAUAAAAACAAAUGGAAUAGCACACCAACUAUCAUGUCCCUACACUCCUCAACAAAAUGGGAGAGUAGAGAGAAAACACCAGCACAUACUACAAGUGGCCAGGUCACUUAUGAUUCAAUCCAACAUUCCCCUUACAUAUUGGGGGGAAUGUAUCUUAACAGCUGUAUUCCUAAUAAAUAGAACCCCAGCUGUUGUCCUAGACAAUGACACCCCUUACUACAGGUUGUUUAAUGAGCAACCUAAUCUCUCUAUCCUAAGAGUAUUCGGAUGUCUUUGUUAUGCUACAAACAACAAAACAAAGACAAAAUUUGAAAACAGAGCCAUCAAGGGAAUUUUCCUAAGAUACUCUUUCCAAAGAAAGGGUUAUAAGAUACUCAAUCUGUCAAACCAAGAAAUCUUCACAAACAGGGAUGUUACUUUCCAUGAAGAAAUAUUCCCAUUUCAAGAAAAACCUAAACAACAUGAGGAAGACUUCUUCAACAAAGAACCACUAGAAGAAACAAACACAUACAUAACUCCCUCACAUGACCAAUAUGAGUCAGAGGAAGAUGAGGAGAUAAUUCCUCAAAUUUCUCACAUUCCUCCUUCAAUGGAACUCACUGAACAAUAUGAGUCAGAAGAAGAGGAAGAAAUAGCUGAAACACCAACACCAGCAGACAAUGAGGGCACUAACAGAACAUCAAAAAGAACUAGAAAAAUGCCCUCAUACUUAAAGGAUUACAAACUACAACUAGCAUCAUCUAGACACCCAAUAGGGAAAGAAAUCUCACAACAAAAUUUCACCCCAGAACACCAUGCUUUCAUCACAACAAUAGAAAGCAACAAUGAUCCAAGCUCAUACAAAGAAGCCUCCAAACAUGCCAAAUGGAACAAUGCUAUGAAACAAGAACUUGAGGCUCUUGAAAACAACAAAACAUGGACAAUCACUAGCAUUCCUCAAGGAAAGAAACCAAUUGGCUGCAAAUGGGUCUACAAGACCAAAUUCAACAGUGAUGGAACUGUUGAAAAACAUAAAGCAAGAUUGGUUGCAAAAGGAUACAACCAAAUUGAGGGGAUAGAUUUCACAGAAACCUUUGCCCCUGUCUCAAAAAUGACAACACUCAGAGUCAUUUUGGCAAUAGGAGUAUCCAAGAAAUGGCACAUGCAUCAAAUGGAUGUGCAAAAUGCCUUCCUACAUGGAACUUUAGAAGAAACUAUAUACAUGAAAAUUCCCCUGGGCCUAGACAUACCAAAAGACUCACCAACAAAUUCAGUCUGCAGACUGAAUAGGUCACUAUAUGGCCUAAAACAAGCCUCCAGAGUGUGGUAUCAAACUCUGUCAAAGGCUCUAUCCAAUUUUGGAUACAAACAAUGCAAAACAGAUUAUUCACUGUUCAUAAACAUUGAUGAUAAAGACACUACAAUAGUAUUAGCCUAUGUUGAUGACCUGUUAAUAACAGGAAAUAACAUAGAUAAAAUUAAUACCUUAAAAGGAAACUUAAGUGAAACCUUCAAAAUAAAGGACCUAGGAGAACUUAAAUAUUUCCUAGGCCUUGAAUUCACAAAAACACCAAAUGGCCUAUACAUUGGCCAAAGAAAAUACACCUUAGAUCUAUUAGAAAAAUAUGAUCUAACUCAAUGCAAACCAAAUAACACUCCAAAUAGCCAAAAACAAAUAUCCAAUUAUAAAACAGAAAAAUUUAAUAACACAUUAAUACAACCAAACAACCACAUUAACAAAACACCAAUGCAAUCACAUAAAACAGAGACAUGUGGAACCCCAUUAGAGGACCCACAGCAAUAUAGAAGUAUAAUUGGCAAGUUAGUUUAUUUAACUUGCACAAGACCAGACAUAUCAUAUGCUGUGACUUAUCUAAGUCAGCACAUGGCAACACCCACAGACAUUCACAUGAAAGCUGCCUACAGAGUAUUAAAAUACAUAAAAGGAUCACCUGGUGUGGGGUUGCAUUUUACAGGAUCCUCAAUGGACCACAUUUCUGCAUUUUCUGACUCAGAUUGGGCAAGUUGCCCAACCACCAGACGAUCAACAUCGGGGUUUGCCAUCUUCCUUGGUACUUCCCUAGUAUCUUGGAAAUCAAAAAAGCAACAAACAAUAUCAAGAUCAUCGGCUGAGGCUGAGUACAGAGCAUUGGCCUACACUACAUGUGAAAUAACUUGGUUAACAAUGCUACUACAUGAGAUAGGAGUUUACCAGAUACGACGAUCACCGGCUCCACGUAUCUUCACCGACAGCACAGCAGCAGAGGCGAUUGCACGAAACCCUAUAUCACACCAACGAACAAAACAUAUAGAAAUCGAUCUUCACACGGUGAGGGACAAGGUUUUAGCGGGAGAUAUUACACUAAGACACGUCUCUAGCACACAAAACNNNNNNNNNNNNNNNNNNNNNNNNNNNNNNNNNNNNNNNNNNNNNNNNNNNNNNNNNNNNNNNNNNNNNNNNNNNNNNNNNNNNNNNNNNNNNNNNNNNNCCUUGGGUGGUCCUGCAUUUAAAAAUUUAAUCCAAAGACUAAACCUAAUUGAUAUACACACCAAGAAUUCAAACCCAAUUAAUUCACUUCAACACCCCAAUGCACCCAUAUAUUCAAAUCAAACCCUGACCGGUUUUGAUUUGAGGGAGGAUAUUAGAGAUACACCCCUACCUUAAAAUAAAUUACACAUAUAACAUUAUAAUAAAAUUAUCAUUAACACCCUCUUAUUUCAUCACAACUCUUCACAUUCUCAUUACAUCUUUUCAUAUUUAAAUAUCAAUCAAAUAUUCAAUCUUAUAUAUUAAUUCCCAAAUUCAUAUUACACAUUCCUAUAUACAUUAAUUACCAUAAUUAAAUACACCCAACCAACAUAGCCGUUGGGUGUUCUUCUAUAUAAACAUACCUAAUCCUAGUUUAAGUUUAACACUCGAUCAUACACACCCACACACUCUGUAUUACAAUUACAGACUCUGUGUCACUCUGUCUGAUCAUUCUGCAACUGCAACUACUGAUCUUCAAACGCUUCCGCAAUACAACAACUUGAAUCACAGAUUCAAGUUCAACCACAUUCAACUCACUUCAACAAGCUGUGGAUUAUCGCUUCAUCAAUCGAUCAUCCUACAGUAUCAAUUUACAGUUCAUUAUCAUAUCAUCAUACAUACAUUGAUAAUUCAAUUCUUAAACCAUAUUUCAUAUUUAUAUUUGCAUAUAUUUCAAAUAUAAA
rnacentral:lncRNA from 1 species